UUCUGCAUCAUGGUGCUCCAGGUGUUCUGCUCCAAGAUAUUCACUGUCAGCUUCUACUACCUCCGUGGCCGCUUCCAAGACAUUUCCCUUGCGUAUAUGCUGGACUAUAAAGCCAAGGUAUCAUGGAGUAUCAUGGAAUCCAACACUAGUUUCUGGUGUUUGUCAAAGGGCAGUUCACUGAAGAUGAGUGGGCAGAGGACUAACAUAUGCCGAAAAUGAUGAUGACCAUUAGGGAAAAGCUGAGACUGAGUUCAGUCUGGUAAAACAUACAGUCUGAUGGAUAAAUGCAAAUGGGUUGAUCUGUGUAACAUGCUUAAGGACCUAUGUAGCAGAUCGAUCCCAGAGCUGUGACAACCUUUUCCAAUAGCCAUUUCCUCAUUUGGUUGACCUUCAGGUAUAUGGACGUCGUCUUCUUUGGGUCGGGUAGAUAAUGUGUACCUGAAUGUUCUUCUUCUGGUAUAUGGACACCGUCUUCUUCGGGUGGAGUGAAAUUCAAGUCUAGGAGAACCAUAUUGAUUCGAUUGCUGCUGCUCCUGCGCCUUGUUCAGGUACGGGGAUGCUGCUGCUGUGGUGUGCUCCUGCUGCUAUAUUUGUUCAGGAUAUGUUCUGAUGUCUGUUGCCGCUUCUCUCUGUGCGAGGAGCACCUGUGCGUGAGGCGCCUGGUGAGGAAGAACCUGGGAGCCGGUCUUCAACAAAAAGGCGAUGAGCACCUGGCAAGGAGAUCGUCGUCGAGGAGGAGGCGAAGUGCACCUGGGCGAGGAGCCGGAGGAGAUCGUCCUCCAGUAU